CUGCCGGAGGCGACCGCUGUGGGAGUCCGAUUAAGCCAUGCGAGUCGAGAGAAUAAGAUUCUCGGCAUACCGCUCAGUAACACGUGGAUAACCUGCCCUGUGCUGGGGGAUAACCUCGCGAAAGUGAGAACAAUACCCCAUGGGUCACUAUGCCUGGAACGGUUAGUGGCUGAAAGCUCCGGCGGCACAGGAUGGGUCUGCGGCGUAUCAGGUCGUAGGGGGUGUAACGUACCUCCUAGCCUUCGACGCGUACGGGUUGUGAGAGCAAUUGCCCGGAGAUGGAUUCUGAGACACGAAUCCAGGCCCUACGGGGCGCAGCAGGCGCGAAAACUUUGCAAUGUGCGAAAGCACGACAAGGUUAAUCCGAGUGGUUUCUGCUAAAGGAACCUUUUGUUAGUCCUAAAAACACUAACGAAUAAGGGGUGGGCAAGUUCUGGUGUCAGCCGCCGCGGUAAAACCAGCACCUCAAGUGGUCAGGAUGAUUAUUGGGCCUAAAGCAUCCGUAGCCUGCUCUGUAAGUUUUCGGUUAAAUCUGUAUGCUCAACAUACAGGCCGCCGGGAAUACUGCAGGGCUAGGGAGUGGGAGAGGUAGACGGUACUCGGGAGGAAGUGGUAAAAUGCUUUGAUCUCUCGAUGACCACCUGUGGCGAAGGCGGUCUACCAGAACACGUCCGACGGUGAGGGAUGAAAGCUGGGGGAGCAAACCGGAUUAGAUACCCGGGUAGUCCUAGGUGUAAACGCUGUGGACUUGGUGUUGGGGAUUCUCCGAGGAUUCUCAGUGCCGAAGCGAAGUGAUAAGUCCACUGCCUG
rnacentral:rRNA from 1 species